rnacentral:rRNA from 1 species
UACGUAGGGUGCAAGCGUUAAUCGGAAUUACUGGGCGUAAAGCGUGCGCAGGCGGUUGUGUAAGACAGAUGUGAAAUCCCCGGGCUCAACCUGGGAACUGCAUUUGUGACUGCACAGCUGGAGUGCGGCAGAGGGGGAUGGAAUUCCGCGUGUAGCAGUGAAAUGCGUAGAUAUGCGGAGGAACACCGAUGGCGAAGGCAGCCCCCUGGGCUAGCACUGACGCUCAGGCACGAAAGCGUGGGGAGCAAACAGG